GAUGAACGCUGGCGGCGUGCCUAAUACAUGCAAGUCGAGCGAACGGACGAGAAGCUUGCUUCUCUGAUGUUAGCGGCGGACGGGUGAGUAACACGUGGAUAACCUACCUAUAAGACUGGGAUAACUUCGGGAAACCGGAGCUAAUACCGGAUAAUAUUUUGAACCGCAUGGUUCAAAAGUGAAAGACGGUCUUGCUGUCACUUAUAGAUGGAUCCGCGCUGCAUUAGCUAGUUGGUAAGGUAACGGCUUACCAAGGCAACGAUGCGUAGCCGACCUGAGAGGGUGAUCGGCCACACUGGAACUGAGACACGGUCCAGACUCCUACGGGAGGCAGCAGUAGGGAAUCUCCCGCAAUGGGCGAAAGCCUGACGGAGCAACGCCGCGUGAGUGAUGAAGGUCUUCGGAUCGUAAAACUCUGUUAUUAGGGAAGAACAUAUGUGUAAGUAACUGUGCACAUCUUGACGGUACCUAAUCAGAAAGCCACGGCUAACUACGUG
rnacentral:rRNA from 1 species